UUGUUUUGAUUUUUAAUCAUGAUUUAGACAUAAGACACGAUUCAUAAGGGUUUAAAUUGGGCUAUCGGCGGGUGCGGGCCAGGGGGCGCCUCGCGGCGGUCCCCCGGCGGUCGUUAGACGGACCCACCGAAGCAACAAUGGUUCAGUAAACAAAGGGUUGGGAGGUCGGGCCUAGAAGACCCUAACUCGUUAAUGAUCCUUCCGCAGGUUCACCUACGGAAA
rnacentral:misc_RNA from 1 species